CCUACGGGAGGCUGCAGUGAGGAAUAUUGGUCAAUGGGCGGGAGUCUGAACCAGCCAAGUAGCGUGAAGGAUGAUUGCCCUAUGUGUUGUAAACUUCUUUUAUAUGGGCAUAAAAUCUUCCACGUGUGGGAUUUUGUGUGUACCAUCUGAAUAAGGAUCGGCUAACUACGUGCCAGCAGCCGCGGUAAUACGGAGGAGGCAAGCGUUAUCCGGAUGGACUGGGUGUAAAGGGUGCGGAGGGGGUUUUACAAGUUAGUAGGGAAACUCCGGGGCGCAACUUCGGAACUACUACUAAAACUGGUGGACUUGAGUGCAGGAGAGGCAAUCGGAAUUCCUAGUGUAGCGGUGGAAUGCGUAGAUAUUGGGAAGAACACCAGUGGCGAAGGCGGAUUACUAGACUGUAACUGACACUGAGGCACGAAAGCGUGGGGAGCAAACAGGAUUAGAUACCCGGGUAGUC
rnacentral:rRNA from 1 species